UACAGAGGGGGCAAGCGUUAUUCGGAAUUAUUGGGCGUAAAGGGCGCGUAGGCGGCGAUUCAAGUGACGGGUGAAAUCCCUCGGCUUAACCGAGGAACUGCCUGUCAGACUGGAUUGCUUGAGUCCGGGAGAGGCGAGUGGAAUUCCCAGCGUAGCGGUGAAAUGCGUAGAUAUUGGGAGGAACACCAGUGGCGAAGGCGGCUCGCUGGACCGGAACUGACGCUGAUGCGCGAAAGCGUGGGGAGCAAACGGG
rnacentral:rRNA from 1 species